CCUACGGGAGGCAGCAGUGAGGAAUAUUGGUCAAUGGGCGGGAGCCUGAACCAGCCAAGCCGCGUGAGGGAAGAAGGUACAGCGUAUCGUAAACCUCUUUUGUCAGGGAACAAAGGCGGGGACUAGUCCCCGGAUGAGGGUACCUGAAGAAAAAGCAUCGGCUAACUCCGUGCCAGCAGCCGCGGUAAUACGGAGGAUGCGAGCGUUAUCCGGAUUUAUUGGGUUUAAAGGGUGCGCAGGGGGCCUGUUAAGUCAGCGGGAAAAGCCCGGGGCUCAACCCCGGCGAGCCGUUGAAACUGGCGGGCUGGAGUUGGAGAGAAGUACGAGGAAGGCGCGGUGGAGCGGUGAAAUGCUUAGAUAUCGCGCAGAACCCCGAUUGCGAAGGCAGCGUACCGGCUCCACACUGACGCUGAGGCACGAAAGCGUGGGUAUCGAACAGGAUUAGAUACCCUAGUAGUC
rnacentral:rRNA from 1 species